UACGAAGGGGGCUAGCGUUGUUCGGAAUUACUGGGCGUAAAGCGAACGUAGGCGGUGUUCCAUGUCAGAGGUGAAAGCCUGGGGCUCAACCCCAGAAUUGCCUUUGAAACGGGGACGCUUGAGUCCGAGAGAGGAUGGCGGAAUUCCUAGUGUAGAGGUGAAAUUCGUAGAUAUUAGGAAGAACACCGGUGGCGAAGGCGGCCAUCUGGCUCGAUACUGACGCUGAGGUGCGAAAGCGUGGGGAGCAAACAGG
rnacentral:rRNA from 1 species